ensembl:lncRNA
GAGUGAAUAGGAUUUGCCAGGUCUGGGAACAGAGUGGAGGCAUUUAGCUCCCCUUCAGAUACUGUAAGGCCGCUCUCAGGUCUCCCCAGAGCCUUCUCCUCUCCGUGCUGAACAGCCCCAGCUCUCUCAGCCUGUGCUUCCAGGGGAGCUGUUCCAUCACUUGGAUCAUCGUUGUGGCCCUCCCGUGGACACGCUCCAACAGUCAUGAUGUGAGGGUCUCAGAGGAGCAGGCAGCAGAGGAGCUCACGUCCCUUCAACCACUGGUCAUUCAGGCAUCCCACUGCCUACGGCUGAAACCUGCAGGAGUGGCCAGGGAAGAUUUCUGCUUAUUGCUGCUCACCCCAGGCUCAGGCAAUGGCCCAAGUCAGUCCUGAGAGCAGGGACCUCUGCAAGCCCAGGUUCCACGGAGGCUGUGGCUGUUUCUGUAACUGCACUCAAUGCUCAGCGCUGGAUUGAGAGUGAGUGAGGUUGGAAGAGACCAAUGGAGUUUAUCUGAUCCCAAGUGGUGACCUGCUCUUGUGUUGACUCACAGCGCCUCUGUGGCCUUCUGAGAAUGUGGAGAAUAUCUUCUACGAAUACCUCUUACUAACAAACACAAAAGUUCGCCUUCAGUGAACAGUGAACAGUUCAGAAGUCUCUAAGUAAUUCCAUUACCUGCUGGUGAUAAUAGAUCAUAUUUAUGAAUGAAAUCCUAUUUGCUGAUAUGGUACCUUCUGUUCCAGUCAGGUUCACGUUCUAAUGUAAGAAAUUUACUGAUGAGCAUGAGUACAGAAAUAAAGCAAU